rnacentral:rRNA from 1 species
GUCCUACGGGAGGCAGCAGUGAGGAAUAUUGGUCAAUGGGCUUACGCCUGAACCAGCCAAGUCGCGUGAGGGAAGACUGCCCUAUGGGCUGUAAACCUCUUUUGUCAGGGAGCAACGCCGGCUACGUGUAGCCGGACUGAGAGUACCUGAAGAAAAAGCAUCGGCUAACUCCGUGCCAGCAGCCGCGGUAAUACGGAGGAUGCGAGCGUUAUCCGGAUUUAUUGGGUUUAAAGGGUGCGUAGGCGGGCUGUUAGGUCAGCGGUCAAAUGUCGGGGCUCAACCCCGGCCUGCCGUUGAAACUGGCG